rnacentral:rRNA from 1 species
CAGAGGGUGCGAACGUUGCUCGGAAUUACUGGGCGUAAAGCGCGUGUAGGCGGGUCGGCAAGUCAGGCGUGAAAUCCCCAGGCUCAACCUGGGAACUGCGCUUGAAACUGCCGGUCUUGAGUAUCGGAGAGGGUGGCGGAAUUCCUGGUGUAGAGGUGAAAUUCGUAGAUAUCAGGAGGAACACCGGUGGCGAAGGCGGCCACCUGGACGAUUACUGACGCUGAGACGCGAAAGCGUGGGGAGCAAACAGGAUUAGAUACCCUGGUAGUCACGCCGUAAACGAUGGGUGCUAGGUGUCUCGGGUAUUGACCCCUGAGGUGCCGUAGCUAACGCGUUAAGCACCCCGCCUGGGAAGUACGGCCGCAAGGCUA